GAGUGAUAUUAUGUAUUUGAUAGUCCUUCUUAGCCAUCUUUAGCUCCCGGUUUUUAAGGACUAUCCACGCAUACUUAAAAUGU
rnacentral:sRNA from 1 species